AGCCAUGCAUGUCUAAGUAUAAGCAAUUAUACAGCGAAACUGCGAAUGGCUCAUUAUAUAAGUUAUCGUUUAUUUGAUAGUACCUUACUACUUGGAUAACCGUGGUAAUUCUAGAGCUAAUACAUGCUAAAAAUCCCGACUUCGGAAGGGAUGUAUUUAUUAGAUUAAAAACCAAUGCCCUCUGGGCUCCUUGGUGAUUCAUAAUAACUUUUCGAAUCGCAUGGCCUUGCGCCGGCGAUGGUUCAUUCAAAUUUCUUCCCUAUCAACUUUCGAUGUUUGGGUAUUGGCCAAACAUGGUCGCAACGGGUAACGGAGGGUUAGGGCUCGACCCCGGAGAAGGAGCCUGAGAAACGGCUACUACAUCCAAGGAAGGCAGCAGGCGCGCAAAUUACCCAAUCCCGAUUCGGGGAGGUAGUGACAAUAAAUACUGAUACAGGGCUCUUUUGGGUCUUGUAAUUGGAAUGAGUACAAUUUAAAUCCCUUAACGAGGAACAAUUGGAGGGCAAGUCUGGUGCCAGCAGCCGCGGUAAUUCCAGCUCCAAUAGCGUAUAUUAAAGUUGUUGUGGUUAAAAAGCUCGUAGUUGAACCUUGGGCCUGGCUGGCCGGUCCGCCUCACCGCGUGUACUGGUCCGGCCGGGCCUUUCCCUCUGUGGAACCUCAUGCCCUUCACUGGGUGUGGCGGGGAAACAGGACUUUUACUUUGAAAAAAUUAGAGUGCUCCAGGCAGGCCUAUGCUCGAAUACAUUAGCAUGGAAUAAUGAAAUAGGACGUGUGGUUCUAUUUUGUUGGUUUCUAGGACCGCCGUAAUGAUUAAUAGGGACAGUCGGGGGCAUCAGUAUUCAAUUGUCAGAGGUGAAAUUCUUGGAUUUAUUGAAGACUAACUACUGCGAAAGCAUUUGCCAAGGAUGUUUUCAUUAAUCAGGAACGAAAGUUAGGGGAUCGAAGACGAUCAGAUACCGUCGUAGUCUUAACCAUAAACUA
rnacentral:rRNA from 1 species